rnacentral:rRNA from 1 species
AACGAACGCUGGCGGCAUGCCUAACACAUGCAAGUCGAACGAGACCUUCGGGUCUAGUGGCGCACGGGUGCGUAACGCGUGGGAACCUGCCCUUAGGUUCGGAAUAACUCCCCGAAAGGGGUGCUAAUACCGGAUAAUGUCUUCGGACCAAAGAUUUAUCGCCUUUGGAUGGGCCCGCGUUGGAUUAGCUAGUUGGUAGGGUAAAAGCCUACCAAGGCGACGAUCCAAAGCUGGUCUGAGAGGAUGAUCAGCCACACUGGGACUGAGACACGGCCCAGACUCCUACGAGAGGCAGCAGUAGGGAAUAUUGGACAAUGGGCGAAAGCCUGAUCCAGCAACGCCGCGUGAGUGAUGAAGGCCUUAGGGUUGUAAAGCUCUUUUACCCGGGAUGAUAAUGACAGUACCGGGAUAAUAAGCUCCGGCUAACUCCGUG